CCUACGGGCGGCAGCAGUGGGGAAUAUUGCACAAUGGGGGAAACCCUGAUGCAGCGACGUCGCGUGAGUGAAGAAGUAUCUCGGUAUGUUAAGCUCUAUCUGUAGGGAAGAAAAUGACGGUACCUGACUAACAAGCCCUGUCUAACUACGUGCCAGCAGCCGCGGUAAUACGUAGGGGGCAAGCGUUAUCCGGAUUUACUGGGCGUAAAGGGAGAGUAGUCGGCCAGACAAGUCAGAAGUGAAAGGCCAGGGCUCAACCCGGGGACUGCUGUUGAAACUGGCGGGCUGGAGUGCAGGAGAGGUAAGCGGAAUUCCUAGUGUAGCGGUGAAAUGCGUAGAUAUUAGGAGGAACACCAGUGGCGAAGGCAGCUUACUGGACUGUAACUGACGUUGAGGCACGAAAGCGUGGGGAGCGAACAGGAUUAGAUACCCCAGUAGUC
rnacentral:rRNA from 1 species